AAAAAAAAGGAGAGAAAAGGGGCAGAGGAAUGGCUGUUCAAAACAUGAGAAUGAGAGAGAAGCUUAAAUACAAUCUUUACUACCAAUUGAUCAUUGGACAAUCCCUGAAGACUACCAGCAAAAGCUCCGGCAAGAAAUCUGAUUAUCCGACCAACUGAGUACUUCCUCUUCAUCUUCCUGUUGGCUGUUGAAGUGUUGCAUUGAGGUUUUCUUGGGUGUUUUGAAACUUUUACUUUGGUCAGAUUCAUACAUCAUUCGUCCA